CCUACGGGAGGCUGCAGUGGGGAAUAUUGGACAAUGGGGGGAACCCUGACCCAGCCAUGCCGCGUGUGUGAAGAAGGCCCUCGGGUUGUAAAGCACUUUCAGUGAGGAAGAACGCCUGGUGGUUAAUACCCAUCAGGAAAGACAUCACUCACAGAUGAAGCACCGGCUAACUCCGUGCCAGCAGCCGCGGUAAUACGGAGGGUGCGAGCGUUAAUCGGAAUUACUGGGCGUAAAGCGCGCGUAGGUGGCUUGAUAAGCCGGUUGUGAAAGCCCCGGGCUCAACCUGGGAACGGCAUCCGGAACUGUCAAGCUAGAGUGCAGGAGAGGAAGGUAGAAUUCCCGGUGUAGCGGUGAAAUGCGUAGAGAUCGGGAGGAAUACCAGUGGCGAAGGCGGCCUUCUGGACUGACACUGACACUGAGGUGCGAAAGCGUGGGUAGCAAACAGGAUUAGAUACCCUUGUAGUC
rnacentral:rRNA from 1 species